GAGCUCGUAGGCGGUUUGUCGCGUCUGCUGUGAAAUCCGGAGGCUCAACCUCCGGCCUGCAGUGGGUACGGGCAGACUAGAGUGCGGUAGGGGAGAUUGGAAUUCCUGGUGUAGCGGUGGAAUGCGCAGAUAUCAGGAGGAACACCGAUGGCGAAGGCAGAUCUCUGGGCCGUAACUGACGCUGAGGAGCGAAAGGGUGGGGAGCAAACAGGCUUAGAUACCCUGGUAGUCCACCCCGUAAACGUUGGGAACUAGUUGUGGGGUCCAUUCCACGGAUUCCGUGACGCAGCUAACGCAUUAAGUUCCCCGCCUGGGGAGUACGGCCGCAAGGCUAAAACUCAAAGGAAUUGACGGGGACCCGCACAAGCGGCGGAGCAUGCGGAUUAAUUCGAUGCAACGCGAAGAACCUUACCAAGGCUUGACAUAUACGAGAACGGGCCAGAAAUGGUCAACUCUUUGGACACUCGUAAACAGGUGGUGCAUGGUUGUCGUCAGCUCGUGUCGUGAGAUGUUGGGUUAAGUCCCGCAACGAGCGCAACCCUCGUUCUAUGUUGCCAGCACGUAAUGGUGGGAACUCAUGGGAUACUGCCGGGGUCAACUCGGAGGAAGGUGGGGAUGACGUCAAAUCAUCAUGCCCCUUAUGUCUUGGGCUUCACGCAUGCUACAAUGGCCGGUACAAAGGGCUGCAAUACCGCGAGGUGGAGCGAAUCCCAAAAAGCCGGUCCCAGUUCGGAUUGAGGUCUGCAACUCGACCUCAUGAAGUCGGAGUCGCUAGUAAUCGCAGAUCAGCAACGCUGCGGUGAAUACGUUCCCGGGUCUUGUACACACCGCCCGUCAAGUCAUGAAAGUCGGUAACACCUGAAGCCGGUGGCCUAACCCUUGUGGAGGGAGCCGUCGAAGGUGGGAUCGGUAAUUAGGACGAAGUCGUA
rnacentral:rRNA from 1 species